rnacentral:rRNA from 1 species
GUGCCAGCAGCCGCGGUAAUACGGAUGGUGCAAGCGUUAAUCGGAAUUACUGGGCGUAAAGCGCGCGUAGGCUGUUAUUUAAGUCGGAUGUGAAAUCCUCGGGCUCAACCUGGGAACUGCAUCCGAAACUGAAUAACUAGAGUAUGGGAGAGGUAAGUAGAAUUUCCGGUGUAGCGGUGAAAUGCGUAGAUAUCGGAAGGAAUACCAGUGGCGAAGGCGGCUUACUGGACCAAUACUGACGCUGAGGUGCGAAAGCGUGGGGAGCGAACAGGAUUAGAUACCCGCGUAGUCCC